rnacentral:rRNA from 1 species
AUUGAACGCUGGCGGCAGGCCUAACACAUGCAAGUCGAGCGCGCGGCGGACGGGUGAGUAAUGUCUGGGAAACUGUCUGAUGGAGGGGGAUAACCACUGGAAACGGUAGCUAAUACCGCAUACCAUCAGAUGCGCCCAGAUGGGAUUAGCUAGUGGGUGGGGUAAUGGCUCACCUAGGCGACGAUCCCUAGCUGGUCUGAGAGGAUGACCAGCCACACUGGAACUGAGACACGGUCCAGACUCCUACGGGAGGCAGCAGUGGGGAAUAUUGCACAAUGGGCGCAAGCCUGAUGCAGCCAUGCCGCGUGUGUGAAGAAGGCCUUCGGGUUGUAAAGCACUUUCAGCGAGGAGGCGUUACCCGCAGAAGAAGCACCGGCUAACUCCGUGCCAGCAGCCGCGGUAAUUC